GAUGAACGCUGGCGGCGUGCUUAACACAUGCAAGUCGAACGAGAAGUGAAGACGGAAACCUUCGGGCGGAAGGCUUUAUUUCGAGUGGCGGACGGGUGAGUAACGCGUGGGUAACCUGCCUCAUACAGGGGGAUAACAAUUGGAAACGACUGUUAAUACCGCAUAAGACCACAGCACCGCAUGGUGCGGGGGUAAAAACUCCGGUGGUAUGAGAUGGACCCGCGUUCGAUUAGCCAGUUGGCGGGGUAACGGCCCACCAAAGCGACGAUCGAUAGCCGAUCUGAGAGGAUGACCGGCCACAUUGGGACUGAGACACGGCCCAAACUCCUACGGGAGGCAGCAGUGGGGAAUAUUGCACAAUGGGGGAAACCCUGAUGCAGCGACGCCGCGUGAGUGAAGAAGUAUUUCGGUAUGUAAAGCUCUACCAGCAGGGAAGAAAAUGACGUUACCUGAGUAAGAAGCCCCGGCUAACUACGUG
rnacentral:rRNA from 1 species